rnacentral:rRNA from 1 species
CGGGUGAGUAAUGUCUGGGAAACUGCCUGAUGGAGGGGGAUAACUACUGGAAACGGUAGCUAAUACCGCAUAACGUCGCAAGACCAAAGAGGGGGACCUUCGGGCCUCUUGCCAUCGGAUGUGCCCAGAUGGGAUUAGCUAGUAGGUGGGGUAAUGGCUCACCUAGGCGACGAUCCCUAGCUGGCCUGAGAGGAUGACCAGCCACACUGGAACUGAGACACGGUCCAG